UCUGUGUGGUUUCCUGGAGAGUCCAGGAUGUGGACUUGAAACUCUGAGAUUGUGUCGCUGUGGUUUGUCAGAGAUCAGCUGUGAUUAUCUGGCAGCAGCACUGAAGUCCAACCCCUCCCAUCUGAGAGAGCUGAACCUGUGGGGAAACAACCUGAAGCAUCCAGAUGUGAAGCAGCUGUCUGAUCUUAAACGGAGUCCAGACUACAGACUGGAGACUCUGGGGUGGAGGUGAUGAUGGUAAACAGGACGGUGUGUGUGCUGAGAGAGGAGGAGCUGUGUCCUGAUGAUCCAGAGAGGUUGAAGCAGCAGCAGCUUGUGUGUAGAGACGCUCUGACUGGGCCAUGUUACUGGGAGGUGGAGAGGAGAGCUUCAUCCAGCAGUGACUGACAGAGGAAUGAAGUGCAGAUGACUGUCAGUGCUGCAGAGCGAACUGCUCUGAGAACAGCUCCACUGUCAGACACAAUGUAGAGUCCAGCAUCAUCCCUGUGUGUCCUCUGGAUCUGACAGAGGAUCUCAGUGUAUCUGGACGGCUCUGCUGCUGCUCUGUCCUUCUACAGUCUCUGCACAGUCUCUGUCUGACUCUGGCUUCAGACCCUCCUGGAUCAAACUCACCGGGACAGACUUUCAAACAUCACUCAAUAGAUUUGAAUACAGAAUAUAUUUGAUAUACACUGUAGAUGUACUGUAGAGUUGCAGUUUGUCACUUGUAAAUACAGUCUGUGAGCAGCUAUGAGCUGAAAGAUCUUUCUAGAAACACAAAAUGUUUUCACUCUUCUGUUGCUUUUUCAUAUAUUUCCACAACAUUAAUAUUGAUCCCACCUGUCUCACCUGUUUCAUGCUUUUAUACAUAAUAACAGGACACGUGUGAUCUGAGCGCUGCUGUGGUUGCUGUGCUGCACGUCUUCAUUUAGAUAACAGAGACAUCUAGUGGUUCAGAGGGAGAACUGCAGGAGGUGGAGCUGUGUUUUAGCAUGGAAAACUUUUUAUCUUUUAGGCGCAGAUACAAA